rnacentral:misc_RNA from 1 species
ACUCUUCAACCCUUUAGUUUUUUAUAAACUAUUUGGAGUUUGGAUUUUGAGUGUUGCUUUUGGUUUCAAAAGCUCAUUCGUAAUAUAUUAGCAUCUCUAAUUCGAAAUCGGAUUGACUCAGUGUAAUAGACUAUUCGCUGAGGACAUAGUAAUAUGGCCGAUAUUAGAAUACUAGUUAGAAGCUUCGAAUCUAAUAGUCAUUUUCUUGA